rnacentral:rRNA from 1 species
CCAAGAAGUCCAACACGUGCGCGAGUCAUUGGGUCUUACGAAACCUAAAGGCGCAAUGAAGGUGAAGGCGAGUUCGGCUCGUCGAGGUGAGAUCCCCGGUCGUAGGUGGUCGGGGCGCAUCACCGGCCCGUCCUCUCGGGGGCGGAGCAAGAGCGCACCUGUUGGGACCCGAAAGAUGGUGAACUAUGCCUGAGCAGGACGAAGCCAGAGGAAACUCUGGUGGAAGUCCGCCGCGAUUCUGACGUGCAAAUCGAUCGUCUAACUUGGGUAUAGGGGCGAAAGACUAAUCGAACCAUCUAGUAGCUGGUUCCCUCCGAAGUUUCCCUCAGGAUAGCUGGCGCUCAUUUUCGCAGUUUUAUCCGGUAAAGCGAAUGAUUAGAGGCCUUGGGGACGAAACGUCCUCAACCUAUUCUCAAACUUUAAAUGGGUAAGGAGUCGGACUCGCUCAAUUUGGAGUCCGGACCCGGAAUGCGAGUGCCAAGUGGGCCACUUUUGGUAAGCAGAACUGGCGCUGUGGAAAC